rnacentral:rRNA from 1 species
GACGAACGCUGGCGGCGUGCUUAACACAUGCAAGUCGAACGGAAAGGCCCUGCUUUUGUGGGGUGCUCGAGUGGCGAACGGGUGAGUAACACGUGAGUAACCUGCCCUUGACUUUGGGAUAACAUCAGGAAACUGGGGCUAAUACCGGAUAGGAGCUCCUGCUGCAUGGUGGGGGUUGGAAAGUUUCGGCGGUUGGGGAUGGACUCGCGGCUUAUCAGCUUGUUGGUGGGGUAGUGGCUUACCAAGGCUUUGACGGGUAGCCGGCCUGAGAGGGUGACCGGCCACAUUGGGACUGAGAUACGGCCCAGACUCCUACGGGAGGCAGCAGUGGGGAAUAUUGCACAAUGGGCGGGAGCCUGAUGCAGCAACGCCGCGUGCGGGAUGACGGCCUUCGGGUUGUAAACCGCUUUCGCCUGUGACGAAGCGUGAGUGACGGUAAUGGGUAAAGAAGCACCGGCUAACUACGUG